UACGUAGGGGGCAAGCGUUGUUCGGAAUCACUGGGCGUAAAGGGAGCGUAGGUGGGAUCAUAAGUUAGAAGUUUAAAUCGCAGGCUUAACCUGCGUGUGGCUUCUAAUACUGUGAUUCUUGAGUAUGAAAGAGGGAGAUGGAAUUCCAGGUGUAGCGGUGGAAUGCGUAGAUAUCUGGAAGAACACCAGCAGCGAAGGCGGUCUCCUGGUUCAAUACUGACACUGAGGCUCGAAAGUUAGGGGAGCAAACAGG
rnacentral:rRNA from 1 species